AGAAAACCACCCCGCACGAGGAACGCCCUUCCUCUCGAUCCCCUCCCGUCGCCGCCGCCGUCCUCUCUCCGAUCCCUAGCCUCGCACCUUCUCCCAUCCAUCCCCUCGCCUCUCUUUCCCCCGAUCUAGAUGGCACCUCCCACCAUGGCGGGGAGGCGGCUUCGAGCGCCGCCUGAUCUCCUCGACCCAGGGCCUCACGCUCACCAGCGCCCGUCCAAUCGCGCGCGACCUCUCCAAUGCAGCGCGCCCCCGCCCUGUCGCCGAUGUCUUGAUGUGCAGCCCACGCCAUGGGUCUCCGCCGACGCCACGAUGGUCGUGGCCUCCUCACUCGCCGACGCCUCCGCUCCAGAUCCGAGCCGCUGGUGAGCCGUCAAGGUCGGGGCAUGGUACUAUCCAUCUUCCCGCGUGUAGGGCAGCCGGUGCCCGCGUCCGCGUAUCCUGGCCAUGGGUGUUGUAUUCAUCUCCUACAUGGGGCGACGAGGAAGAUGAGCCUAGCGGCACGUGUGCCUUCCAGCCGCUCUUGUGAGAUCGGGAGGCAAUCAAAAGCAGGAAGGGGAGAUCGAUGCUUGGGGGUGACAUCCAAUGACCCAGGCAUCACCCUCUCCUGACGUCUUACUACAAACCCGCAGCCACUGCCUCCUCGAUCUACGCUAGCCUGCAGCAGCAAGGUCAGCCCCCCACACUCGGCAUUUUUUUCUUUAGGUCUUGGCGCGGGAAACUGAAAAAGAGAUGCUCCAACAAUCACCACAUCCCCCAUACUGAUUCCUGCAAAUAAGCGUUAAAUAAAAGUAUAUCGAGUUUGAUGACGAUGAUGAUUGAAAAGAAGAGGAUGAAGCACUAGUCAGAGGGUAUCCGAGUGUACAUGAUGCCCCUGGGUGGGUGUCGGCGUGAGCUGGUAUGGCCCCGUCGUGGCUAUGUAGAUGGGGAGGCGGGGUGGAGGCUGGGACUGCAUGGGGAAAAAGCAUAAAGAGCAAGACGGUAGUGAUGUACUGUGGCAUGGUCAUGUGUGUAGCCUCAGCACAGCGUUGUACUGUGGCAUGGCUGUGUGUGACCUCGGUGCAGCGGCAAAGAGUAGUCUUUGGAGCAGGGCAGCGGCACACACACACAUGAGGGUGGCCCUCGAGGCUUGGGGGUUAAGCAGGUGCGUGAUGGAUCCCGUGGAAGUGGAGAGAGAAGCAUCAUGCUCGUGAACUUGAAAAAUGAUUUCGAGUUUGAACAAAGAAAGUUUACCAAAGAAGACAUCAAAGAAAUUAUAUUUAGGAAGAUACUGGAAUACCUCCCUCAACUUCUCAAGGAUUACAUGCACGGAUCUGAAAAUACUUACUAUGUCCUAUGUUUCUACCUUGACAUAUCCUGUAACUUUUCUGCCUCCUAUUUUGCAUAUGUAGCAAUAGUCAUAACUUAUGUCGUUGAAUCAAUAUUUGCCACUACUGACAAUUUGCAUAGGCAAUCUGCUAAGAGGAAGAUGGUGGAAAGAGCGGGCGAGUCGAGAGAAAACAUUUUCUUCUCCCAAGGUAAUUUACACUAUCAUAAUUCCCCCAACUGUGACUUGUUAUAUACACACCGAGACCACCCCACACCGCCACUAUAGUACACGGACGCUGCUCACCUGCAAAGGGCAAAAGGCUCCUCCUUUUACCAUAAAACAUGUCCCUGGGUAGGAAGGUGGCCUACCCAGCCACAAGCAAAAAAGAGAAGGUCGCUUGCAGACACCGGUGGUGAAGAAAACGAUCCGGAAGAGCAGAAGUGUUAUUCCAUACCGAGCUGUACCGUGUGUUUUCAGUUUUAUGAAGAAUGGUUUGCGAUUACACGGUAUUUGAAACCUUCUUUUCACACACUGAGCCUUGUGAUCUGACGGUAUGUGGCUUCUGUGUUCUUGCGUAGGUGUCGAACUACACUAUCAGCAGCAGAUGCUGCACCUUGUCUUUAGCAAAGACGGAAAGCCUGCUAAUUAAUGAUACAGGGAGAUGAACGAUGUGGAUAUGAAGAAGUAGUGGGUUGUGCUUUUCAGCAGUAAAUGCAUUUAGAGAUUUGAUGGCUUGCUCCAAAGACAAGCAACUAAUCUCGUUGAUGGGAUUGCUGCGCAGAUUCAUGGAUCGUGCUCUUCCGUGGUAAGGAGCCUGUGGCUCUCUCAAGUCUCAACUGAUCAGAAGAUCUUGGUGUUAGCUGGUUGGUCAGAGGAAGAAAGCAGAACGCAUGAAUGAAAGUGGUGUUGGGGAACGUAGCAGAAAUUCAAAAUUUUCUACGCAUCACCAAGAUCAAUCUAUGGAGUAAUCUAGCAACGAGGGGAAGGGGAGUGCAUCUACAUACCAUUGUAGAUCACGAUGCGGAAGCGUUGCAAGAACGCGGAUGAAGGAGUCGUACUCGUAGCGAUUCAGAUCGCGGUUGAUUCCGAUCUAAGCGCACCGAAGAACGGUGCC